rnacentral:rRNA from 1 species
AACGAACGCUGGCGGCAUGCCUAACACAUGCAAGUCGAACGAGACGUUCGGGUCUAGGGGCGCCCGGGGGCGUAACGCGUGGGAACCUGCCCUUAGGUUCGGAAUAACUCUCCGAAAGGGGUGCUAAUACCGGAUAGUAUCUUCGGACCAAAGAUUUUUUGCCUUUGGUUGUGCCCGCGUUGGAUUAGGUAGUUGUUAGGGUAAAAGCUUACCAAGGCGACGAUCCAUAGCUGGUCUGAGAGGAUGAUCAGCCACACUGGGACUGAGACACGGCCCAGACUCCUACGGGAGGCAGCAGUGGGGAAUAUUGGACCACGGGCGAAAGGCUGAUCCAGCACUGCCGGGUGAGCGAUGAAGGCCUUAGGGUUGUAAAGCGCUAUUAACCGGGAUGAUAAUGACGGUACCGGGAGAAUAAGCCCCGGCUAACUACGUG